AUUGAACGCUGGCGGCAUGCCUUACACAUGCAAGUCGAACGGCAGCACGGGUGCUUGCACCUGGUGGCGAGUGGCGAACGGGUGAGUAAUACAUCGGAACGUACCUUAUCGUGGGGGAUAACGCAGCGAAAGCUGUGCUAAUACCGCAUACGCCCUGAGGGGGAAAGCGGGGGAUCGCAAGACCCCGCGCGAUUAGAGCGGCCGAUGCCUGAUUAGCGUGUUGGUGGGGUAAAAGCCCACCAAGGCGACGAUCAGUAGCUGGUCUGAGAGGACGAUCAGCCACACUGGGACUGAGACACGGCCCAGACUCCUACGGGAGGCAGCAGUGGGGAAUUUUGGACAAUGGGGGCAACCCUGAUCCAGCAAUGCCGCGUGAGUGAAGAAGGCCUUCGGGUUGUAAAGCUCUUUUGUCAGAGAAGAAACACCGGCUCUAACACAGUCCGGGAAUGACGGUACCUGAAGAAUAAGCACCGGCUAACUACGUGCCAGCCGCCGCGGUAA
rnacentral:rRNA from 1 species